CCUACGGGAGGCAGCAGUGAGGAAUAUUGGUCAAUGGGCUUACUCCUGAACCAGCCAAGUCGCGUGAGGGAAGACUGCCCUAUGGGUUGUAAACCUCUUUUGUCAGGGAGCAACGCCGGCUACGUGUAGCCGGACUGAGAGUACCUGAAGAAAAAGCAUCGGCUAACUCCGUCCCAGCAGCCGCGGUAAUACGGAGGAUGCGAGCGUUAUCCGGAUUUAUUGGGUUUAAAGGGUGCGUAGGCGGAAUGCCAAGUCAGCGGUAAAAUCGCGGGGCUCAACCUCGCUCCGCCGUUGAAACUGGCGUUCUUGAGUGGGCGAGAAGUAUGCGGAAUGCGUGGUGUAGCGGUGAAAUGCAUAGAUAUCACGCAGAACUCCGAUUGCGAAGGCAGCAUACCGGCGCCCAACUGACGCUGAAGCACGAAAGCGUGGGUAUCGAACAGGAUUAGAUACCCCAGUAGUC
rnacentral:rRNA from 1 species